rnacentral:rRNA from 1 species
ACUGCUCAGUAACACGUGGACAACCUACCCUGAGGUCGGGGAUAAACCCGGGAAACUGGGUAUAAUACCCGAUAGAUCUAGAUCGCUGGAAUGCUUUUAGGUCUAAAGUUCCGACGCCUCAGGAUGGGUCUGCGGCCUAUCAGGGUAGUAGUGGGUGUAAAGUACCUACUAGCCUACGACGGGUACGGGUUGUGAGAGCAAGAGCCCGGAGAUGGAUUCUGAGACACGAAUCCAGGCCCUACGGGGUGCAGCAGGCGCGAAACCUUUACAAUGCUGGCAACAGCGAUAAGGGGACCUCGAGUGCUACGAUACAAUCGUGGCUGUCUAGUUGCCUAAAAAGCAAUUGAUAGCAAGGGCCGGGCAAGACCGGUGCCAGCCGCCGCGGUAACACCGGCGGCUCGAGUGGUAACCGCUAUUAUUGGGUCUAAAGGGUCUGUAGCCGGCUUAGUUAGUCUCUUGAGAAAUCUGGCCGCUCAACGGUCAGGCGUUCAGGGGAUACUGCUAAAGCUCGAGACCGAGAGAGGUGAGAGGUACUUCAGGGGUAGGGGUGAAAUCUUGUAAUCCUUGAAGGACCACCAGUGGCGAAGGCGUCUCACCAGAACGGAUCUGACGGCAAGGGACGAAAGCUAGGGGCACGAACCGGAUUAGAUACCCGGGUAGUCCUAGCCGUAAACGAUACUCGCUAGGUGUCGGCCACGGUGCGACCGUGGUCGGUGCCGUAGGGAAGCCGUGAAGCGAGCCACCUGGGAAGUACGGCCGCAAGGCUGAAACUUAAAGGAAUUGGCGGGGGAGCAC